UUUUGCUUCAUCACUUUCUUCCCAGCCUUUUCGUAGACCUUUCUCUCCAUUAUGGAGCCUGAUGAAGAAGAAUGUAUGACCAAAAUAUAGCAUUUGCAGAGGCGACUUAUUUAAUGCAGAGUGAUUUAUCACAGGCUACAGCAGAGAAAACCCAACACUGGCCAUAACGCACCCUCUGAGCCCCUCCUUCACUCCAGCGUCUCAGGAUGGGAACACUGCCAGUCCACCGUGUAGGGGCAACGCCAUCGCUGUACUCACCAUCCCAGCGCCCAAAUAUCACUCCACGGUCAUCGUUUGAAUUCACCUGACAAACAGAUGCAUUUGACCCGUUUAACUUUUGGCAGUGAUACUGUCAAAUAUUUUGGCACACAGUGUCAUUUAUGAUCAGGAACAAUGUAUUAUAUGUAUGUAUAAAUAUGUAUGUAUAAUCUGUUCAAAUUGUAGUUAACAGUAAUAGUUUCAUCCACAGUUACAUCUCUAUUUAUAAGUAUAUUGUCAGACUGUAUGAAGGAGCAGUAGAUUAUUAAAAUUGAGUGAAAUGUU